rnacentral:lncRNA from 10 species
GCAGUGGCGCCAUCUCGGCUCACUGCAAGCUCUGCCUCCUGGGUUCAUGCCAUUCUCCUGCCUCAGCUUCCCAAGUAGCUGGGACUACAGGUGCCCACCAUGCCCAGCUAAUUAUUUUGUAUUUUUAGUAGAGACAGUGUUUCACCAUGUUAGCUAGGAUGGUCUUGAUCUCCUGGCCUCGUGAUCUGCCUGCCUCAGCCUCCCAAAGUGCUGGGAAGGUGGGUGGAUCACCUGAGGUCAGGAGGUCGAGACCAUCCUAACCAACACGGUGAAACCCCAUCUCUACUAAAAAUAUAAAAUUAGUUGGUCAUGGUGGCACAUGCCUGUAAUCCCAGUUAUUUGGGAGGCUGAGACAGGAGAACUGCUUGAACCCAGGGGUUGGAGGUUACAGUGAGCUGAGAUCUCACCACUGCACAGCAGCCCAGGCGACAGUGCAAGACUUUGUCUCAAAAAAAAAAAAAAGUCUCUUAACAAAAACCAAGCCAGACACAGCAGUCCAUGCUUGUAAUCUCAGCGCUUUGGGAGGCUAAGGCAGGGAGGAUCACUUAAGGUCAAGGGAUUAAGGUUGCAGUGAGCUACGAUCAAGCCACUGCAUUCUUGCUUGGGCGACAGAGCGAGACCCUCUCUUAAAUUAAACCCUCUUUAAAAAACCCCUCAAUUAUUCUCUCUGGGUGUGGUGGCUCAUACCUGUAAUCCCAGCAGUUUGAGAGUCCAAGGCAGGAGGAUCGCUUGAGGCCAGGAGUUCCAGACCAGUCUGAGCAACAUAAUAAGACACUAUCUCUACAAAAAAUUAUUUUAAAAACAUUUAAAAAAACAAAAGCUAGUAGUUCUUUGCCCUGCCUGAUCCCACUUUUAGUCAUGCUACCCAAAGGCAACUACUUGCCAGAUCUUAGAUAUUUUCUUACUGUUAUAGUAAAUAAUCUGUUAGUGUAAAUGAGCUCUCAUACACUCCUAGUCCCAUGUUUCUUCUAUCCCUAUCUUUCCAAUAUGGUUACAUCAGAAUUUUUGGUUCAGUGAGUAUGUGGAUUCAUACUUGUAUGAUAUAUAAAUAUUGUUUACUGAUACUUUUCAUUCCUAAGCCAAGCAGAAUAUGGAGGUUACAUUUCCUUUCUUGUAUGAUUUGUAUAUUUUUUCCUAGUGUCAGUAUUUGCUUCCUGCAAUCUAAACCAUGUCUUUGAGUUCUAGGAAAUUUUCUUGUAUUAUUUCUUUGAUAACUUCUUUCUUCUCCCUACAAGGUCUCACUCUGUUGCCUAGGUUGGAGUGCAGUGGGGCGAUCAUGGCUUACUGCAGCCUCACACUCCCAGGUUCAACUGAUCCUCCUACCUCAGCCUUCCAAAUAGUUGGGGCUACACGGGUGCCACCAUGCCCAACUAAUUAAAAAAAAAUUUUUUUUUUGCAGAGAUGGGAGGUCUCACUUUGUUGCCUAGGCUGGUCUUGAACUCUUGGACUCAAGCAAUCCUCCUGCCUAAGCCUCCCAAAGUGCUGGGAUUACGGGCUAGAGCCACUGUGCCUGGCAAUCGUUUUUGUUUUUUUUUUUUAAGCCUCCUACUCUCAUUUGAAUGCUCUAAUAUCUUUCAUUUAUUAUCUGAAGCAGAUUUUUAAUAGUAAAUUGUUUUUCGUUUGGAGGUUUUUAUUUUUUUUUGAGACAGAGACUCACUCUGUCACCCAGGCUGGAGUGCAGUGGUGCGAUCUUGGCUCACUGCAACCUCCGCCUCCUCGGUUCAAGCGAUUCUCCUGCCUCAGCCUCCCAAGUAGCUGGGAUUACAGGCACACACCACCACACCCAGCUUAUUUUUGUAAUUUUAGUAGAGACAGGGUUUCCCCAUGUUGGCCAGGCUGGUCUCGAACUCCUGACGUCAGGUGAUCUGCCCGCCUUGGCCUCCCAAAGUGCUGGGAUUACAGGCGUGAGCCACCAUGCCUGGCCCUAUUUAUUAUUUUCUGAGGCUAAGUUAUUCCUUCAGCUUCUGGCUUCUAGCUUAGUCCUAAAGUAGUGUACUCAUGGGCUGUGUCAUGAAUUUCUAGUCUCCAAUGGGUAGUUAGAUGGUAGAUGUUAACAGUUACAUGGAUAACCUAGUCUUCUGUUCUUCUGUCAAUUGUUGAGCAAACCAUUGGGAUAUAAUUGCUACAAGUUUAGGUUCCUG